ACACAAAGGAAGUAUUUAUAGUAGUACAUAUGAAAUGGAAGCCCUUGGAUGAAGUGGCACGUGGCCUCAUCUUUUUAGUUCAAACAUCUUUUCCUAGGUAUGGGGUUUGACUUGCUAGCUUGCGGCGCAUUUAUUGCUUGUGCAGGGCCUCCAUGCUAGUGACAAGACUUGACCUUUAUGCUUAUGACAAACGUUCCAUCAAUCAUUCGAAUAAGAUCUAUGCAGGCGAUCUCUUGGGAGAAGUGACCAUGGAGGAUGUUUCCUUGUGGU
rnacentral:lncRNA from 1 species